CCGUGCACGACGGGGAGCCAGCGGUGCCCUGUAACCCGGAACCCGCUAUACCGGGGUCGAGCUCUUCUGAGGCUUUCGACCUUUUGUGGUACGGCGUGGCAAGUAGCGUUGAAGGCUGGGUCCUAUGCAAUGGGAAGGUGUGAACCAGGUCAGACCUUGACCGGAGCAGCCUUAAGCACUCGAUCCCAUGUGCCGUAGGGUCGCCUGGCCGGAGCCAACUGCUACGUUUGGCCACUUGAGGCGAAGUCGACGAAGAGCACGC
rnacentral:SRP_RNA from 1 species